rnacentral:rRNA from 1 species
UACGUAGGGGGCAAGCGUUGUCCGGAUUUAUUGGGCGUAAAGAGCGUGUAGGCGGCCAAGCAGGUCCGCUGUGAAAACUCGAGGCUCAACCUCGAGACGUCGGUGGAAACCGUUUGGCUAGAGUCCGGAAGAGGAGAGUGGAAUUCCUGGUGUAGCGGUGAAAUGCGCAGAUAUCAGGAGGAACACCAGUGGCGAAGGCGGCACUCUGGGCCGGUACUGACGCUGAGGAGCGAAAGCGUGGGGAGCGAACAGG